rnacentral:rRNA from 1 species
CACGUAGGGGGCCAGCGUUGUCCGGAAUUACUGGGCGUAAAGCGCGCGCAGGCGGUCUAGUAAGCAGCGGGUGAAAUACCGGGGCUCAACUCCGGUGCUGCUUGCUGAACUGCUAGACUAGAGUUCGGGAGAGGGCAGUGGAAUUCCUGGUGUAGCGGUGGAAUGCGUAAAUAUCAGGAAGAACACCCGUGGCGAAGGCUGCUGCCUGGAACGAUACUGACGCUGAGGCGCGAAAGCUAGGGGAG